CUCUUGGGUUUCAGAGUGGCCAGGACCUAGGGCUUCUCUUCUUCACACCAUGGCCCCAAGGGAAGGCCGCCCUCCCCAGCCCAGCCACCCUGGCCCCAGGCUGCCCUUACCGAUGGUGGUGACGGUGGACACAGAGAAGAAGAAGGAGCCCAAGAGCUCCCAGCGCCCCAUGCUGGUGGUGUUGCUCAGCAGGAAGCACGCGGCCAGUCUUGACGUGGUACUUUUAGGGGCCAGAGGAUGAGAGACAGGACCUCAGCCCUCAUGGGACAGAGACGUACUGAAUGAACUCUGACGUCGUGCAACGGUGGCCGUUUGGACAUUAAGGAAGCAGUGUCCAGGAUCCUG